UACGGAGGGGCUAGCGUUAUUCGGAAUUACUGGGCGUAAAGCGCACGUAGGCGGACUGGAAAGUUGGGGGUGAAAGCCCAGGGCUCAACCCUGGAACUGCCUUCAAAACUCCCAGUCUUGAGGUCGAGAGAGGUGAGUGGAAUUCCUGGAUGUAGCGGUGAAAUGACGUAGAUAUCAGGAGGAACACCGGUGGUGUAGACGGCUCUCUGGACCGCGACUGACGCUGAGACACGAAAGCGUGGGUAGCAAACAGG
rnacentral:rRNA from 1 species